GACAGAGGUGCCGAGCGUUAGGCGGAAUCACUGGGCUUAAAGCGUGUGUAGGCGGGUCGUUAAGUGUCUUGUGAAAUCCCACCGCUCAACGGUGGAACUGCUGGGCAUACUGGCGAUCUUGAGCCACCUAGGGGCAGACGGAACAAGCGGUGGAGCGGUGAAAUGCGUAGAUAUCGCUUGGAACGCCGACGGUGAAAACAGUCUGCUGGGGGUGUGCUGACGCUGAGACACGAAAGCCAGGGGAGCGAAUGGG
rnacentral:rRNA from 1 species